rnacentral:rRNA from 1 species
GAGUUUGAUCGUGGCUCAGAGUGAACGCUGGCGGCAGGCCUAACACAUGCAAGUCGAACGGCAGCACAGCCGGGGCAACCCGGUGGGUGGCGAGUGGCGGACGGGUGAGGAAUACAUGGGAAUCUGCCCUGUCGUGGGGGAUAACGUAGGGAAACUUACGCUAAUACCGCAUACGACCGAGAGGUGAAAGCGGCGGACCGCAAGGCGUCGCGCGAUUGGAUGAGCCCAUGUCGGAUUAGCUAGUUGGCGGGGUAAAGGCCCACCAAGGCGACGAUCCGUAGCUGGUCUGAGAGGAUGAUCAGCCACACUGGAACUGAGACACGGUCCAGACUCCUACGGGAGGCAGCAGUGGGGAAUAUUGGACAAUGGGCGCAAGCCUGAUCCAGCCAUGCCGCGUGAGUGAAGAAGGCCUCGGUUGUAAG